UUCUUGGAUGACGUAAGGUAGAAGCCGCGGU
rnacentral:piRNA from 1 species